rnacentral:rRNA from 1 species
AUUGAACGCUGGCGGCAGGCCUAACACAUGCAAGUCGAACGAGUGGCGGACGGGUGAGUAAUGUCUGGGAAACUGCCCGAUGGAGGGGGAUAACUACUGGAAACGGUAGCUAAUACCGCAUACCAUCGGAUGUGCCCAGAUGGGAUUAGCUAGUAGGUGGGGUAAAGGCUCACCUAGGCGACGAUCCCUAGCUGGUCUGAGAGGAUGACCAGCCACACGGGAACUGAGACACGGUCCAGACUCCUACGGGAGGCAGCAGUGGGGAAUAUUGCGCAAUGGGCGAAAGCCUGAUGCAGCCAUGCCGCGUGUGUGAAGAAGGCCUUCGGAUUGUAAAGUACUGUCGGCAGGGAAGCGUUACCUACAGAAGAAGCAACGGCUAACUCCGUGCCAGCAGCCGCGGUAAUAC